UGACGGGCGCGUGAUGGCGGCGGGCGGAGCGCGGCCGCUGUGACGGCGCCAAGAUGGCGGCGCUGCGGGAUGUGGACUUCGCGGCGUUGCAGAUCCUGCUGAAGGCGCCGUCGAAGGACGCUGUGCGGCAGCUGUGCCAGGAGUGCUUCUCUAGCCCGCCCGCCGCGCUCGGCCCGCUGGCGCAGCGCGCCGGCCCCGGGCUCGCCGUCAGCGCCGAGGAAGCGGAGCAGCUGGUGUCUGCUUUGCACAACCUCACCAGGCACGUGGUGUACCGCGGCUUGACCAGGGCAGAAGACAUCCUCUGUCUCUUCCCAGAAAACUUCCACCAAAACCUGAAAAACCUCUUGACUAAGAUAAUCUUGGAGAAUAUCUCUGCUUGGAGGAAUGAAGCACAAGCCAGUCAGAUCUCCCUGCCUCGGCUGGUGGACAUGGACUGGAGGGUGGACAUCAAGACAUCUUCGGACAGCAUUGUAAGAAUGGCAGUCCCUACCUGCCUGCUGCAGUUAAAGAUUCAGGAAGAUGCUGCCUUAUGUGGAAAUAAUCCUGUUGUUUCUGCACUGACUGUGGAACUGAGCAAAGAAACCCUGGACACUAUGUUAGAAGGUCUGGGAAGGAUUCGGGACCAACUUUCUGCUGUUGCAAACAAAUGAAUGCUCAAGGGCAUGGAUUCUAGCAGCAAGGAAGGGAAGUAUUCUCUACCUACGGCUGUCAGAAGUUGCAGCCUAGUGUAACACGUUGUCUAUUUCAGCAAAACAAAACUAAAGAGAUUUCUUUCUUGAAUUAAUGAGAUAGCUUUUGAAAGGCUAACACUCAAAUACUCAUUUGGAUGGAAGCCAAAAAAUUGUUUCCUAUUGUGUUGUUGAACAAAAGCUGUUCACUAUUUCAGAAGAGGAUUUGAGGGCUGAGAGCCUGGCUUAAUCACAAGGGUCAUAACUGGAAACAGCAAAUAGCUGCAGCCAAUGAAGCAAGUUCUAUCUCUGUCCUGAAAUGAGAAUCUGAAAGCCUCAAGCUGGGUAAUGGGCUGCCUUCCAACAAAGGGAGGGUGCUUCUCUCUGGGAUGUGCAUGUACUGAGGUGCCUGCUGGAUGUAGCACUCUCUCCCUCUCAGUGAAGCACAGCUAUGCUGCAGAUUGUUAUUACAGGAUGAUGCACUGAAAUAGGGCAGUUAUGUUACAACACAUUCCCUUCUGAUCAGCUUCACAGCACCAUUUGCAAAAUGACUGUUCUGAACAUCUUUAGAAGGAACUAAUUUCCUCCUUCUGUUUGUAAAGAAAAAAAGGAGUUCAGGUAAUUCAUGUGUGGGGUUUAUUGGACUCUGGGCUUUGUCUUUGCUGCAAAAACCAGGCUGGGAGAAUAAAGAAUUGAAGGCUGUUUUCUGUGCUGUAGGAAACCCCUCUGUGGCAAUAUGUGCCUAUACUUCUUCAAAGUGUUCUGUUGUUUGUGUAAAUUUUCAUUUAAUUAAAGAAUGAACUGCUAA